GAUACCAAUUCAUUUUAUUGCUCUUGGUCCGUUUGAGGUCUCCAAAUUUCAAGAUUUCAAUAGACAGCAGCCGUGAAAGCAUGGCAACAAGCAGCGGAGAAAGUCGGCGCCGGAAAAUCCUCGAAAGAGGAUCCGAUCGCUUGGCUUUUAUUAAGGGUCAUCUCCAAAACCUCCCUCCUCAUCCUCCUCACUCUGAAAACCAAAUCGACAUCAGCCCUCCUCCGCUUCCGUCGGCCCCCCUCCACCCGACUUCCCAAGUCAAAUCGCCGUUUCUCCCGAUGUCCAUGAUGAAGCCUCUACUUCUGUGAUGCUAAAACAUAAUCCUGUUCUGAUGCUAAUCAGAGUCAGCCCAGUACUUAUAAUGGAAUUGGUGAAGGAUCAACAUCCCACAGACGGGAUAGAAACAUCGGGCCUUCAAAUGAUUCUGCGUUGAAUACAAGCUGUCAAGCGAAUUCAGUGCCGGUUCUAUCAGAUGAUCAAAUUUCAUCGAUUUCCACAUCAAGGACAGUACAUCGUUCAGAAACACCAACUCGAAAACAUAAUUUUUCACCCUAAGCAAAUAAGUUCUGCAAUUGAUGCAUCUGGACAAGCACGCCUCUUAUGUUCAGUGAUCGUGGCCGUCUCAGUUGUUCUGGUACGUUUGGGGUUUCCUCUUCUAGGAAACAGAUUCCUAGGGGGCAUUAUCAGCUUCAGGCCAGUUUACUUCAUUCUGUUGA